rnacentral:rRNA from 1 species
GUCGAGAAUCUUUCACAAUGGGGGCAACCCUGAUGGAGCGACGCCGCGUGGAGGAUAAGGUCUUCGGAUUGUAAACUCCUGUCAUGCGUGAACAAGGUUGCUUGGUUAAUACCUGGGCAAAUUGAUGGUAACGCAAGAGGAAGAGACGGCUAACUCUGUGCCAGCAGCCGCGGUAAUACAGAGGUCUCAAGCGUUGUUCGGAAUCACUGGGCGUAAAGGGUGCGUAGGUGGCGUGGUAAGUCAGAUGUGAAAGCCCGGGGCUCAACCGCGGACCUGCAUCGGAUACUGCCAUGCUAGCGUACUGGAGAGGUGACUAGAAUUCUCGGUGUAGCAGUGAAAGGCGUAGAUAUCGAGAGGAAUACCAAAGGCGUAGGCAGGUCACUGGACAGUUACUGACACUGAGGCACGAAGGCCAGGGGAGCGAACGGGAUUAGAAACCCCUGUAGUCC